GAACUUCUGCAAUAAAACACAAAAAGCCAAGAAUGUAAGUGUCUGUCUUUCAGAUGAUCCUGGAGUCUCUCUACUCCACAGCUUCCUGUAGAGAUCACAGGAGGACGCAAGUGAAGGUCACAGAGUUUGGAGCUGUACUAGUGACCAGUUCCCAGGGGAUAGACUUGACAUCUGAAAUUCUAAGUUCCCCCAAGUGGACCAGUGUCUACUGCACCUCUGUCUAGAGCCUGCUGGGUGUCAUCUUCCCAGGGUUGCUGAGCCUGGCCUCCUGUGCACACCACAGCCUGUGUGUUCCUUCACCCAUCUUCCUGCUGGAACCUAAGAUCCCAGAGAACAGGAAUUCCCAGGGUGUUUUCUCUGUAGCCCUGCCCACAAUGCCUGACUCACAGUGGACAGAACAGAAUGAAAGCCUGGUGCUAUCAGCAGAGUCAACACUGAAAAAACACAGCAGAAAUCUGGACUCCAGAAUGACAUCGAACACAGGCGGUGAACAGUUUUUAACAGGGAAAGAGUGGUGUC